CCUACGGGGGGCAGCAGUGGGGGAUAUUGCACAAUGGGGGAAACCCUGAUGCAGCGAUGCCGCGUGAGUGAAGACGGCCUUCGGGUUGUAAAGCUCUGUCGCAGGGGACGAAAAUGACGGUACCCUGCAAGAAAGCUCCGGCUAACUACGUGCCAGCAGCCGCGGUAAUACGUAGGGAGCAAGCGUUGUCCGGAAUUACUGGGUGUAAAGGGAGCGUAGACGGCAGCGCAAGUCUGGAGUGAAAUGCCGGGGCUCAACCCCGGAACUGCUUUGGAAACUGUGCAGCUAGAGUGCGGGAGAGGUAA
rnacentral:rRNA from 1 species